rnacentral:rRNA from 1 species
UACGUAGGGGGCGAGCGUUGUCCGGAUUUAUUGGGCGUAAAGAGCGUGUAGGCGGUUCGGUAAGUCGGGUGUGAAAGCUCCGGGCUCAACUCGGAGAGGUCACUCGAUACUGCCAUGACUUGAGUCCGGUAGGGGGGUGUGGAAUUCCCAGUGUAGCGGUGAAAUGCGCAGAUAUUGGGAGGAACACCAAUGGCGAAGGCAGCACCCUGGGCCGGUACUGACGCUGAGGAGCGAAAGCGUGGGGAGCAAACAGG